GUGCUGGUGAUCGGGGCCGACACGAACAGCCGGGUCGUCGACCCGGCCGACAAGAAAACCUACCCGCUGUUCGGCGACGGCGCGGGCGCC
rnacentral:tRNA from 1 species